ACAAGACCUAUCCGACACAGCAAAAUUGGUACAAGAUAUAUUAGGGAAGGAUUCUCCUACUCUAUUCCAGGCGUUCCAGGCAUUCCUCAAAGCAGUUCGGGAAGCAGUCUACCUACUCAUAACUGGGAAGAUGUUCGAGUGACAAGCCCCACUUCCAGCAAUGCAGCCCCAAGAUGUUCGUUUGAGGAAAGAGGAUUGGAAACCACCAAGGCUACAUCAGGGCUGGCUGAACUUCAACGAGAAGUUCUUUUGCUGCAGAAGAGAAAAGCAGAGUUGGAGAUUUCUAAAAUAGAAAUGGAAAAGGAAA